rnacentral:tRNA from 1 species
UUGUUCUAUAGCCAAGUCGGUAAGGCAACGGGUUUUGAUCCCGUGAUGCACUGGUUCGAAUCCAGUUAGAACAAU